rnacentral:snoRNA from 1 species
AUUGUCAUUCUAUCGAUGUGAUGAAUUUGCCAGACCUACGCUCUGCGUAGAUCGGCACCAACCGUCGUAUACUCUCGAUGUUGGUGUUUUCGCUCCUGGCAUAGAACAAAUUUUCACGACCCGUUGCUGGGCACCUGGCUUUGAGCAGUCGUCUUGACUAUCAUGAGAAGUUGGGAAUCAGCUGAGGUUACAUAU